AAAUUGAAGAGUUUGAUCAUGGCUCAGAUUGAACGCUGGCGGCAGGCCUAACACAUGCAAGUCGAACGGUAACAGGAAGCAGCUUGCUGCUUUGCUGACGAGUGGCGGACGGGUGAGUAAUGUCUGGGAAACUGCCUGAUGGAGGGGGAUAACUACUGGAAACGGUGGCUAAUACCGCAUAACGUCGCAAGACCAAAGAGGGGGACCUUCGGGCCUCUUGCCAUCAGAUGUGCCCAGAUGGGAUUAGCUUGUUGGUGAGGUAACGGCUCACCAAGGCGACGAUCCCUAGCUGGUCUGAGAGGAUGACCAGCCACACUGGAACUGAGACACGGUCCAGACUCCUACGGGAGGCAGCAGUGGGGAAUAUUGCACAAUGGGCGCAAGCCUGAUGCAGCCAUGCCGCGUGUAUGAAGAAGGCCUUCGGGUUGUAAAGUACUUUCAGCGGGGAGGAAGGUGUUGUGGUUAAUAACCGCAGCAAUUGACGUUACCCGCAGAAGAAGCACCGGCUAACUCCGUGCCAGCAGCCGCGGUAAUACGGAGGGUGCAAGCGUUAAUCGGAAUUACUGGGCGUAAAGCGCACGCAGGCGGUCUGUCAAGUCGGAUGUGAAAUCCCCGGGCUCAACCUGGGAACUGCAUUCGAAACUGGCAGGCUUGAGUCUUGUAGAGGGGGGUAGAAUUCCAGGUGUAGCGGUGAAAUGCGUAGAGAUCUGGAGGAAUACCGGUGGCGAAGGCGGCCCCCUGGACAAAGACUGACGCUCAGGUGCGAAAGCGUGGGGAGCAAACAGGAUUAGAUACCCUGGUAGUCCACGCCGUAAACGAUGUCUACUUGGAGGUUGUGCCCUUGAGGCGUGGCUUCCGGAGCUAACGCGUUAAGUAGACCGCCUGGGGAGUACGGCCGCAAGGUUAAAACUCAAAUGAAUUGACGGGGGCCCGCACAAGCGGUGGAGCAUGUGGUUUAAUUCGAUGCAACGCGAAGAACCUUACCUGGUCUUGACAUCCACAGAACUUUCCAGAGAUGGAUUGGUGCCUUCGGGAACUGUGAGACAGGUGCUGCAUGGCUGUCGUCAGCUCGUGUUGUGAAAUGUUGGGUUAAGUCCCGCAACGAGCGCAACCCUUAUCCUUUGUUGCCAGCGGUCCGGCCGGGAACUCAAAGGAGACUGCCAGUGAUAAACUGGAGGAAGGUGGGGAUGACGUCAAGUCAUCAUGGCCCUUACGACCAGGGCUACACACGUGCUACAAUGGCGCAUACAAAGAGAAGCGACCUCGCGAGAGCAAGCGGACCUCAUAAAGUGCGUCGUAGUCCGGAUUGGAGUCUGCAACUCGACUCCAUGAAGUCGGAAUCGCUAGUAAUCGUGGAUCAGAAUGCCACGGUGAAUACGUUCCCGGGCCUUGUACACACCGCCCGUCACACCAUGGGAGUGGGUUGCAAAAGAAGUAGGUAGCUUAACCUUCGGGAGGGCGCUUACCACUUUGUGAUUCAUGACUGGGGUGAAGUCGUAACAAGGUAACCGUAGGGGAACCUGCGGUUGGAUCACCUCCUUACCUGAAAGAA
rnacentral:rRNA from 4 species